UCGCGGCUUAUCACCGGCAGUCGCCUUAGAGUGCCCAACUAAAUGAUGGCAACUAAGGCCGAGGGUUGCGCUCGUUGCGGGACUUAACCCAACAUCUCACGACACGAGCUGACGACAGCCAUGCAGCACCUGUGCUCCCGCCCCUUGCGGGAAGGAAGUCAUCUCUGACGACCAUACGGGGCAUGUCAAAGGCUGGUAAGGUUCUUCGCGUUGCCUCGAAUUAAACCACACGCUCCGCUGCUUGUGCGGGCCCCCGCCUAUUCCUUUGAGUUUUAACCUUGCGGCCGUAGUCCCCAGGCGGUGAACUUAAUGCGUUAGCUGCGGCACUGAUCGGGUCAAUCCGACCAACACCUAGUUCACAACGUUUAGGGCGUGGACUAC
rnacentral:misc_RNA from 1 species